AGGACAGGUAAGUUAUAGCUAUGUGGGCAGGACAGGUAAGUUAUAGCUAUGUGGGCAGGACAGGUAAGUUAUAGCUAUGUGGGCAGGAAACAGGUAAGUUAUAACUAUGUGGCAGGACAGGUAAGUUUAUAGCUAUGUGGGCAGGACAGGUAAGUUAUAGCUAUGUGGGCAGGACAGGUAAGUUAUAGCUAUGUGGGCAGGACAGGUAAGUUAUAGCUAUGUGGGCAGGACAGGUAAGUUAUAGCUAUGUGGGCAGGACAGGUAAGUUAUACUAUGUGGGCAGGACCAGGUAAGUUAUAGCUAUGUGGGCAGUACAGGUAAGUUAUAGCUAUGUGGGCAGGACAGGUAAGUUAUAGCUAUGUGGCAGGACAGGUAAGUUAUAGCUAUGUGGGCAGGACAGGUAAGUUAUAGCUAUGUGGGCAGGACAGGUAAGUAUAGCUAUGUGGGCAGGACAGGUAAGUUAUAGCUAUGUGGGCAGGACAGGUAAGUUAUAGCUAUGGUGGGCAGGACAGGUAAGUUAUAGCUAUGUGGGCAGGACAGGUAAGUUAAUAGACUAUGUGGGCAGGACAGGUAAGUUAUAGCUAUGUGGGCAGGACAGGUAAGUUAUAGCU